CGGAACACGUACACAACCUUCCUUUAAGUGGGGGAUAGCCCAGAGAAAUUUGGAUUAAUACCCCGUAAGAUUAUCGAGUGGCAUCAUUGGAUAAUCAAAGCUACGGCGCUUGGAGAUGGGUGUGCGUCUGAUUAGGUAGUUGGUAGGGGUAACGGCCCACCAAGCCAGCGAUCAGUAACUGGUGCGAGAGCACGACCAGUCACACGGGCACUGAGCACGGGCCCG
rnacentral:rRNA from 1 species